rnacentral:rRNA from 1 species
UACAGAGGUCUCAAGCGUUGUUCGGAAUCACUGGGCGUAAAGGGUGCGUAGGUGGCGUGGAAAGUCAGAUGUGAAAUCCGGAGGCUCAACCUCCGAAUUGCAUCCGAUACUCCCAUGCUAGAGAACUGGAGGGGAGUCUGGAAUUCUCGGUGUAGCAGUGAAAUGCGUAGAUAUCGAGAGGAACACUAGUGGCGAAGGCGAGACUCUGGACAGUUUCUGACACUGAUGCACGAAGGUCAGGGGAGCAAACGGGAUUAGAUACCCGAGUAGU